GAUGAACGCUGGCGGCGUGCCUAAUACAUGCAAGUCGAGCGAACGGACGAGGAGCUUGCUCCUCUGAUGUUAGCGGCGGACGGGUGAGUAACACGUGGAUAACCUACCUAUAAGACUGGGAUAACUUCGGGAAACCGGAGCUAAUACCGGAUGAUAUUUUGAACCGCAUGGUUCAAAAGUGAAAGACGGUCUUGCUGUCACUUAUAGAUGGAUCCGCGCUGCAUUAGCUAGUUGGUAAGGUAACGGCUUACCAAGGCAACGAUGCAUAGCCGACCUGAGAGGGUGAUCGGCCACACUGGAACUGAGACACGGUCCAGACUCCUACGGGAGGCAGCAGUAGGGAAUCUUCCGCAAUGGGCGAAAGCCUGACGGAGCAACGCCGCGUGAGUGAUGAAGGUCUUCGGAUCGUAAAACUCUGUUAUUAGGGAAGAACAUAUGUGUAAGUAACUGUGCACAUCUUGACGGUACCUAAUCAGAAAGCCACGGCUAACUACGUG
rnacentral:rRNA from 1 species